GUGAACGCUGGCGGUAGGCCUAACACAUGCAAGUCGAACGGCAGCACAGUAAGAGCUUGCUCUUACGGGUGGCGAGUGGCGGACGGGUGAGGAAUAUAUCGGAAUCUACUUUUUCGUGGGGGAUAACGUAGGGAAACUUACGCUAAUACCGCAUACGACCUACGGGUGAAAGCAGGGGAUCUUCGGACCUUGCGCGAUUGAAUGAGCCGAUGUCGGAUUAGCUAGUUGGCGGGGUAAAGGCCCACCAAGGCGACGAUCCGUAGCUGGUCUGAGAGGAUGAUCAGCCACACUGGAACUGAGACACGGUCCAGACUCCUACGGGAGGCAGCAGUGGGGAAUAUUGGACAAUGGGCGCAAGCCUGAUCCAGCCAUACCGCGUGGGUGAAGAAGGCCUUCGGGUUGUAAAGCCCUUUUGUUGGGAAAGAAAAGCAGCAGGUUAAUACCCCGCUGUUCUGACGGUACCCAAAGAAUAAGCACCGGCUAACUUCGUG
rnacentral:rRNA from 1 species